UCCCUGGUGGUCCAGUGGUUAGGACUUGGUGCUUUCACUGCCAUGGUCCUGGUUCAAUCCAUGGCUGGGGAA